rnacentral:misc_RNA from 1 species
GAAAUGCGAUAAGUAGUGUGAAUUGCAGAAUUCAGUGACUCAUCGAAUCUUUGAACGCACAUUGCGCCCCUUGGUAUUCCAUGGGGCAUGCCUGUUCGAGCGUCAUUUGUACCCUCAAGCUCUGCUUGGUGUUGGGUGUUUGUCCCCGUCUCCGCGCGUGGACUCGCCCCAAAGUGAUUGGCAGCCGGCGUACUGGUCCCGGAGCGCAGCACAUGUCGCGCAAACGAGUGCCUUGGUACGGCGGCGUCCAUAAGCCCCUCUCUCACGCUCUUGACCUCGGAUCAGGUAGGGAUACCCGCUGAACUUAAGC